rnacentral:misc_RNA from 1 species
GAAAUGCGAUAAGUAGUGUGAAUUGCAGAAUUCAGUGAAUCAUCGAAUCUUUGAACGCACAUUGCGCCCCUUGGUAUUCCAUGGGGCAUGCCUGUUCGAGCGUCAUUUGUACCCUCAAGCUUUGCUUGGUGUUGGGUGUUUGUCCUGUCUGCUUUUGCACUUAGGACUUGCCUUAAAACAAUUGGCAGCUGGCAUAUUGGCCUGAAGCGCAGCACAAUUUGCGCCUUCUGCCAUGGUUGUUGGCGGCCAUCAAGAUAUUUUCUAAGCUCUUGACCUCGGAUCAGGUAGGGAUACCCGCUGAACUUAA